rnacentral:sRNA from 1 species
ACAUACCUAUAUGUUGCCUCGGCGGAUCACCCCGCGCCCCGUAAAACGGGACGGCCCGCCGCAGGAACCUAAACUCUGUUUUUAUUGGAACAUCUGAGUAAAAAAACAAAUAAAUCAAAACUUUCAACAACGGAUCUCUUGGUUCUGGCAUCGAUGAAAAACGCAGCAAAAUGCGAUAAGUAAUGUGAAUUGCAAAAUUCAGUGAAUCAUCGAAUCUUUGAACGCACAUUGCGCCCGCCAGUAUUCUGGCGGGCAUGCCUGUUCGAGCGUCAUUUCAACCCUCAAGCCCAGCUUGGUGUUGGGAGCUGUCUUAGUUGACACUCCCCAAAUUGAUUGGCGGUCACGUCAAGCUUCCAUAGCGUAUUAAUUUACACAUCGUUACUGGUAAUCGUCGCGGCCACGCCGUUAAACCCCAACUUCUGAAUGCGGCGAGUGAAGCGGCAACAGCUCAAAUUUGAAAUCUGGCUCUCGGGCCCGAGUUGUAAUUUGUAGAGGAUGACUUUGAUGCGGUGCCUUCCGAGUUCCCUGGAACGGGACGCCAUAGAGGGUGAGAGCCCCGUCUGGUUGGAUGCCAAAUCUCUGUAAGUCUCCUUCGACGAGUCGAGUAGUUUGGGAAUGCUGCUCUAAAUGGGAGGUAUAUGUCUUCUAAAGCUAAAUACCGGCCAGAGACCGAUAGCGCACAAGUAGAGUGAUCGAAAGAUGAAAAGCACUUUGAAAAGAGAGUUAAAAAGUACGUGAAAUUGUUGAAAGGGAAGCGUUUAUGACCAGACUUGGGCUUGGUUAAUCAUCUGGGGUUCUCCCCAGUGCACUUUUCCAGUCCAGGCCAGCAUCAGUUUUCGCCGGGGGAUAAAGACUUCGGGAAUGUGGCUCCUCUCGGGGAGUGUUAUAGCCCGUUGUGUAAUACCCUGGCGGGGACUGAGGUUCGCGCUUCUGCAAGGAUGCUGGCGUAAUGGUCAUCAACGACCCGUCUUGAAACACGGACCAAGGAGUCGUCUUCGUAUGCGAGUGUUCGGGUGUAAAACCCCUACGCGUAAUGAAAGUGAACGCAGGUGAGAGCUUCGGCGCAUCAUCGACCGAUCCUGAUGUUCUCGGAUGGAUUUGAGUAAGAGCAUA